rnacentral:tRNA from 1 species
AUUCAGGUAGCUUAAAAUUUAAAGUUUAAUAUUGAAGAUAUUAAGAUAAGCAUUCGCUUCCUGAAUA